UCGGACUCGGUGCUGCGGCGGGCCACGGGCGCACCGUCCGGCGGCUCCUCCAGCGAGGCCUUGCCCAUUUGAAGCGGUGCUUGCUGGGAAGGAUGCCGCCCAGUUGCUAGGUAACCGGAGCCGGCGUGUGAAGUGGAGCGGAGUGGUUCCACAGGCCCGCCUCCCUGCCCACUCCACACUGUGAGCGUGGGCCUCGCUAGGAGCGACAGACGGCGGUAUUUUCCAUCCGUCGUGGCAGGGGGCCAGCUGUCCUCACGCCCUCCCCCUGGCCCAGUGACUGAAGUCACAGGAUGUGCGGCCGCUGUGGUCCUGUGCCCGAGUCACAGGACCCAAGCCUCCCGGAGUGAGCCGUCGGCCACCAGAAGCCGCCAGGAGUCGCAGACUCCAGCCGACAGGGCGGUCUGGCGGCCGGCAGUCGUUCUCCAGCGGGAGCUCCCGGGACACUGGCCCAGGAGAAGAGCGCAGACCUGCGUACGUGGGGGACUCGGUGGCGGGCCCCGCAGAAAGGCGGCCCUGCGCCGCGCUGAGAAACAGCCUGAAGGCGCCGCCUAGCGCAGUUACCACGUGACCAGCGCCCCCGCCCCCACCCCCACCCCGGGGGGUGUGCCCAGAGGGAGGAAAACGCACGGCGGACCUCAGGCUUGCACGCGCCUAGCACGGUUGACCUCAGGAAGAAAGCAGCUAGUUAUUUCAGCAGCAAUGGGGCUUUAUUCAGGGAUCGCGGAGGAUUGCAGCGAAAACCAUAGGCGAGUCCAGCAGACCGAGAGAGACGUUACCUGCUGGGGAAAAAGGGAGCUGGGAAUGGAAGUCCAUGGCAGGAAAGCGCGUGUGCGGGGCAGCGCUGGCCGCCCCCUGGCCACCGUGUCACGGUGUCUGUUCGGCUUGUUGGGCGAGGAGGAAGCCUUCCCCCGGCCGGGGUAGUAGAGACGCAUCUUGCUCCUGUCGGGCCUGUAAGUGACGCCUCUUCCCGUUGGGGUGUAUGGAAGUGACCGGUUAUGGUGAGCGGGCCUGCCGCUCCAUUGAAACCAGGUUGCUUUUAUUCGCUUUCGCAGCAGCAGUAUUCAUGGCAGCCCAAAACAGGGACUGGGGCUGACCACCACCCGAGUGAGCACACGAAAGUGUGUGUUCAUGCCCUGGGAAGUUCUUUGGCCACAAAAGGAAGUGGCGACACAGGCUACAACACGGGCGAACGUGGAAAACACUGGGCUAAGUGGAAGGAGCCGGUCACAAAAGACUGCACAGGCUACGAUCCAUUCAUGCAAAGUGUCCAGAAUAGGCAAAUGCGUGCAGCCAGUAAGUGCACGAGUGGUGGCCAGGGCCUGGGGAAGGGACGCGGGGAGCGACUGCCAGAGGGCCCCGGGUUUCUUUUCAGGGCCGGGUGUUCUAAAACAGGCUGCCAAGGGGGCACAUAUCUGUGAAUACACUUGAAACUCAUGGACUGUGCACUCUAAAUGGUAGAUUGCAUGCGUGGUAUGUGAAUUACACAUCAGUCAAGCUGUUAAAACAUGCAUGUGCAAAAAUGUUUGCAGGGACUCCCCAUCUGUCCAGCAUGAGGUCUGGCUGUGAUCGGGCCUGAGUCCCAGCCUCUGACCACUAUGUGGGGCUCUGGGCAGAGGCCAGGAAACACGGGCUCCAAGAGGUGUGUGGUGGGGCCUUCCGGGGCCUGCCGCUGCCCUCUACCCACCCUGGGGCCCAUUUUCUGCCACGCUCCUAGGGUUGCCAGGGUGGUCCAGAGUGGCCCGGCAGCCAGUCUCCAGCGUGUGCAUAAGGGAGUGGCAGCGAGGUUGCAGAGCAUAGACAGAGGUGGACCGCGGGGCCCAUCCUGAGGGCCACGGGGAAUCACGAUCAGGUCGGCGUCAGCGGGCUGCCCUGUGGGGAACCCCCAUGGCACCGGCCUUGUGCGAAUUGACGCAUUGGAACCUGCUUUGUCCCGGGAAGUGACCCACGAGCAACAAGUGCCCAGAGCAAGCCAGCUCUCGGUCACCAGGUCUUUGCAGGAAUGUCCCUGCGGGCCUGAACCAUCCCUUCAGGGCCCCUCUGCUCCCACCCCAGCUCUGAGCGCUCAGGUUCCGGGCGGACUAGGCGCAGUUAGGAUCCAUUCCUGGCUGUGGGUCUUUCUGCCAAACCACCCAGUGCCCUCCUACCAAGGCAAAGAGGGGGCAAGGCGGCCUCUUCAGGGCCCAGAGACCCGGCAGGGCGACCUCCGGGCCCAGCCCGCGUGUCUGGAGCGCCUGGGGUUUACGUCGUGCCGUCAUAGGGGCGGGGCCUGAAUGAGA